CCCACUGCGCGUACCCACCUUUAGCGCCCGGCGCCCGGGGAAGCUCACCCAAUGGAGGCAUUGAGCCGCUUCUGCCGCACUCCGCAAGCUCCCGGACAGAGUCUUCCCCAAACGUGGGGGCUCGGUUAAAGAAAACCGAGGGACCAUGGUUAUUCCAGCAUCAGCCAGCAAAGAGAAAAUGGCGGGAGAGUGGAAAGGAACUAAGACCUUCUGCCCAUUCAUAUCUAAACAAAAGAAUAAAUGCUGGAAGGAUGAGCAAGAAACAGUUCCAGGCUGAGGGAAACAACCGAGCAGACGAUAACCUGGAAUUAGAGAGAUUUUCAAUCUUUUCAAGGAUUUUCAACCUUUUUAUAUAUUUGAAAACUGUUUAACCUUAUAAAUCAAU
rnacentral:lncRNA from 1 species